CCUACGGGGGGCAGCAGUGGGGAAUAUUGCACAAUGGGGGAAACCCUGAUGCAGCGACGCCGCGUGAAGGAAGAAGUAUUUCGGUAUGUAAACUUCUAUCAGCAGGGAAGAAAAUGACGGUACCUGACUAAGAAGCCCCGGCUAACUACGUGCCAGCAGCCGCGGUAAUACGUAGGGGGCAAGCGUUAUCCGGAUUUACUGGGUGUAAAGGGAGCGUAGGCGGUAAUGCAAGUCAGAAGUGAAAGCCCGGGGCUCAACUCCGGGACUGCUUUUGACACUGGGUUCCUAGAUUGACGGAGAGGGAA
rnacentral:rRNA from 1 species